rnacentral:rRNA from 1 species
GACGAACGCUGGCGGCGUGCUUAACACAUGCAAGUCGAACGCUGAAGCUUGGUGCUUGCACUGGGUGGAUGAGUGGCGAACGGGUGAGUAAUACGUGAGUAACCUGCUCUUGACUCUGGGAUAAGCCUGGGAAACUGGGUCUAAUCCUGGUUAUGACAUGCCACUGCAUGGUGGUGUGUGGAUAGGGUUUUACUGGUUUUGGAUGGGCUCACGGCCUAUCAGCUUGUUGGUGGGGUAAUGGCCUACCAAGGCGACGACGGGUAGCCGGCCUGAGAGGGUGACCGGCCACACUGGGACUGAGACACGGCCCAGACUCCUACGGGAGGCAGCAGUGGGGAAUAUUGCACAAUGGGCGGAAGCCUGAUGCAGCGACGCCGCGUGAGGGAUGACGGCCUUCGGGUUGUAAACCUCUUUCAGCACGGAAGAAGCGAGAGUGACGGUACGUGCAGAAGAAGCGCCGGCUAACUACGUG